AAAAGCUCGUAGUUGGAUCUGGGUUGCAUGGCUACAUGCCGUCGCUUGUGGGUUUGGUCUGGGUAACCGGAUCAAGCUUGCGAGUCGGUCUAGUGGUUGUGCUUCCUUUCUGCUGUGUCUGUUUACAGGUGUCAGCGUGACUGGUGGGCUUGCCUGUCGGUCUGUUGACAUGCUUCUUGAUGCCUUUAAACGGGUGUCGGAGGCGGACAGCACGUUUACUUUGAACAAAUUUGAGUGCUCAAAGCAGGCCUUUGUGCCUGAAAAUUCUUGCAUGGAAUAAUGGAAUAGGACUUCGGUUCUAUUUUGUUGGUUUUCGGAUCCGAAGUAAUGGUUAAGAGGGACAGACGGGGGCAUUUGUAUGGCGGUGUUAGAGGUGAAAUUCUUGGAUCGCCGCCAGACAAACUACAGCGAAAGCAUUUGCCAAGGAUGUUUUCAUUGAUCUUGAGCGAAAGUCAGAGGUUCGAAGACGAUCAGAUACCGUCCUAGUUCUGACCAUAAACGAUGCCAACUGACGAUCCGUGGUGGUUCUUUAUGUGUCCCCACGGGCAG
rnacentral:rRNA from 1 species